UACGUAGGGGGCAAGCGUUGUCCGGAUUCAUUGGGCGUAAAGAGCGUGUAGGCGGCCAGGUAGGUCGGUUGUGAAAACUGGAGGCUCAACCUUCAGAGGUCGACCGAAACCAUCUGGCUAGAGUCCGGGAGAGGAGAGUGGAAUUCCUGGUGUAGCGGUGAAAUGCGCAGAUAUCAGGAGGAACACCGGUGGCGAAGGCGGAUCUCUGGGCCGUAACUGACGCUGAGGAGCGAAAGCUAGGGGAGCAAACGGG
rnacentral:rRNA from 1 species